UACGUAGGGGGCUAGCGUUGUCCGGAAUCAUUGGGCGUAAAGCGCGCGUAGGCGGCCCGGUAAGUCCGCUGUAAAAGUCCAGGGCUCAACCCUGGGAUGCCGGUGGAUACUGUCGAGCUCGAGUCCGGAAGAGGCGAGUGGAAUUCCUGGUGUAGCGGUGAAAUGCGCAGAUAUCAGGAGGAACACCAAUGGCGAAGGCAGCUCGCUGGGACGUGACUGACGCUGAGACGCGAAAGCGUGGGGAGCAAACAGG
rnacentral:rRNA from 1 species